rnacentral:rRNA from 1 species
AACUGCCAUUGAUACUGUAGGUCUUGAAUUAUUAGGAAGUAACUAGAAUAUGUAGUGUAGCGGUGAAAUGCUUAGAUAUUACAUGGAAUACCAAUUGCGAAGGCAGGUUACUUACUAAACAUUGACGCUGAUGGACGAAAGCCGUGGGUAGCGAACAGGAUUAAUUCCCUGGGUAGUCCACGCCGUAAACGAUGGAUACUAGCUGUUCGGAGCAAUCUGAGUGGCUAAGCGAAAGUGAUAAGUAUCCCACCUGGGGAGUACGAACGCAAGUUUGAAACUCAAAGGAAUUGACGGGGG